rnacentral:rRNA from 1 species
AGCAGCCGCGGUAAUUCCAGCUCCAAUAGCGUAUAUUAAAGUUGUUGCAGUUAAAAAGCUCGUAGUUGAAUUUCGGGAUUAAUGUUUCGGUCAUGCCGUUGGUAUGUACUGAUAUUAUUGAUUUCUCACCUUCUAAAGAACCGUAAUGCCAUUAAUUUGGUGUCACGGGGAAUUAGGACUGUUACCUUGAAAAAAUUAGAGUGUUUAAAGCAGGCUCACGCUUGAAUACAUUAGCAUGGAAUAAUGAAAUAGGACAUCCGAUUCUAUUUUGUUGGUUUCUAGGAUCGAUGUAAUGAUUAAUAGGGAUAGUUGGGGGCAUUAGUAUUCAAUUGUCAGAGGUGAAAUUCUUGGAUUUAUUGAAGACUAACUACUGCGAAAGCAUUUGCCAAGGAUGUUUUCAUUAAUCAAGAACGAAAGUUAGGGGAUCGAAGACGAUCAGAUACCGUCGUAGUCUUAACCAUAAACUAUGCCGACUAGGGAUCGGAUGAUGUUAAUUUUUUAAUGACUC